rnacentral:lncRNA from 1 species
AGAAAAAGAAGGGAAAAGGAGAAAGAUCAACCAUUUAUUUAGACAAUGAGCAAUUGACACCGCAUCACAUAAUAAAAAGUUGAAAAGAAAAACCCAAAUAAAAUCAAAAGAGAUAUGUUGUAGUUUCAUACUUCUACAAUCACAUCAACAUCUCUACCUAUCUUUGAAUCCUGGUAACUAAUGCCUUAGUUAUCAAUAAGUUCAAUAAGUUCAAUAAGUCUUCUUCCAUCAAAUGGUGAAAAAAUAGCCUCUUGAAAAAAAGGAUAGCCUUCGACUACAAUACCCAAGCUACAUUGACAAAAUUAUAAAAAAGUUUGAGUAACACAUGAGGCAUUCAUAAAGAUACUGUUGAAAUACUUUCUGUAAAUAGCCUAGAUUUAUAGUGAUUGUGUGCAUAAUUAGAUGAUAUGAUUGAGACAUGAUUAGACUAUAAUUAAGAAAAUUAAUUUAUUUUCCUACCUAGUAUGUAUUCUUGUAAAUAGUAUAUAUACUCCAAUUGGCUUGAGAGGAAUCAUCAAGCAUCUUCCUUUUCCCUUUCUUUUUUCUUCACUGUUCCAUGCCAUGGCACCCAAGAAAUUUAGCCUAGCUGUGAGUGGCAGAUUUGCCAACUUCAUUUGGAGACUUUCUGGAAAUCAGUUGGUCUCACCACCUAGUCCACCAGUCUCAUUGGCUUCCAACCAGUGAUCCUGUGCAGCGCCGCCACCAAAAGCGCCUCCACGCGCCGGCAUGUUAACAACUCUCCGACAAUUUUUUCACGCCGGCGACUCUUCCUCCAGCAUCGCCAAAGAUCAGUGGCCCCAGACCACUAGGUCCGGUCACCUAACUAGCUCUUCUUCAAGCGUCCAUUGUGAAGAGUAGCUUCGAAUCUACCACUCACGGACACUGAUCCUUUUUUUGGAAGAUUCAAGUCUAUUCUAGUCCCUUGUUUCAGAAUCUCUGUCAACAUGUCUGAAAAGCAGGAUGCCGUCUAUACAGAUUCUGAGUCCUUUUUCAAUUGCUACUGUGAAGUUGCAAGGAAGUAAUAAUUAUGAGUCUUGAGCUACAUCAGUAGAAUUAUGGUUUUUAGGACAGGGGUAUGAUGAUCAUUUAACAAAAAAUGCUAUUGAUAUCACUGCCACGAAUAGUACCAACUGGAUUAAGAUUGAUGAUAAAUUAUGUGGUCUUCUAUGGCAUUCAUUAGACCCGAAAUUGCAUGUUUUAUUUCAGUCUUGCAAAACUUGUUAUAAAGUUUAGACUAAAGCCAAAACGUUAUACAAUAAUGACGUAUAAUGGAUUUAUAAGGUUGUGUCAGAUAUAAUCCACUUACAACAGAAUCAUUGUACAUGGCUAGUUAACCAUAUGUCUUCCUCUAUUUUGGAGCAUCAGAGUCCUCAUUCAGCUCUCUUUCCUAAGUAGACCUCUAAUCAAUUGUCUCUGCGAUUUUUUGGAUUUAUAUAUUUUGUUCAUGACCAUAUUCUGGUAAAGACAAACUCCUAGUAAAAUAAACUCCAGCCCAAAUCUGUUAAAUAUAUCUUCCAAAUCAGUUAAAUAUAUCUUUCUUCAAAAAAGUUACAAAUGUUAUGAUCCCACUACUAACAUAUAUUUUGUCUAUGCAAAUGUCACCUUUUUUUAAACCUCCCUUUACUUUUCUUCUAGUUCAAUAUACAAAACCUUUGUUCCUUACCAUUGUUUGCUUCCUUCAUAUUAUAAUUUUAUUUCCACUAUGUCUGCUGUUUCUAUACCCAAGACAAUUAGAGAAGCAUCGAAUCAUCCUAAUUCCAGCAGCCAAAAUAGCUUUUGUUCGUCUCCUUAUCUCAUUGGGACCCUUCAUAAACUGGACAUUAGAAAUGCCUUCAUGGUGAGCUCACCGGUCGUCUUCGACACUCUUUGUAUGGUCUAAUACAGUCUUCAAAAGCAUGGUUCAGACAAUUCUGUAGUUCAACAGUUUGAAAUGUCUCGAAGUAAAUCUGAUCAUUCCGUAUUUUUUUGUAAUAAUGGUGAUAGAUGCAUCUACUUGAUGGUCUAUAAUGUUGAUGAUAUUGUCAUUAUAGGAAAUGAUCAUGAUGAAAUCUCUCAGCUUAAGUAACAUUUAUUCAGUCAUUUUCAAAUUAGGGAAAUUGAAGUAUUUCUUAGGGAAAUUGAAGUAUUUCUUAGGGAUUGAAGUGGCAGUCUAAAGCAGAUAUUGCGAUUUACCUCAGAAUAUUGUAUUAUGAUUGAAGGGAAUCUUAUAUCCUAAAAAAGUAAAAAAAACAGGAUGUUGUUGCAAGAUCAAAUGCAACAUGCGAACUCAUUUGGUUAAAGCAACUUCAUCAUGAAUUAAAGUAUGGCAACACUGGCCAAAUGAAACUGAUAUGUGAUAAUCAAGCUACUCUCUAUAUUGCACCAAAUUCAGUUUCUCAUGAGAGGAAGAAGUAUAUAGAGAUAGAUUGUCAAUUUAUUAGGACAAAGGAUUGAGUCGGGAUGCAUUUCUACUAGUUUUGUCAACUCAAAUGAUCAGCUAGCUGAUGUUUUCAUAAAAUCUCUUCGAGGUUCAUGAAUCGAAUAUAUUUAUAACAAACUUGGAGCAUGUGACAUGUACGCUCCAACUUGAGGGGGAGUGUUAAGAUAUUAUCUGUAAAUAGUCUAGAUUUGUAGUGAUUAGAUUUGUAGUGAUUGUGUGCAUAGUCAGGUGCUUAGAUUAUGUAAUGUGAUUGGGAUAUGAUUAGGCUACAAUUAGGGAAUUAAUUUUCUUACCUAGUAUGUAUUCUUGUAAGUAGUAUACAUACCCAAUUGAGAGGAAUCAUCAAGCAUCUUUCUCCCAAAGUCAAAGUCUUUAUUUCCCUCUUUUUUCAUCAUUGUUUCAGAUAUUAUAGAAGAAUAGAGUUCUUGCUAGGCAGAAUGUACAAUGACCGAGUACAAUUCAUUUAGAAGUUACAAACUAAAUAAUCCGAGUCGAAACAAUCAUGAUAAUCUAUUGAAAAAAUUUGGUUACCUCCAUGUUUUUCAAUAUUGAUUCAUCAGAAAUAAUGCACAAUGCAAAGGUGAUCGAAGCACAAAAUUUCUCCAAGAUAGUGAUUGUAUGAGCAUGUUGAGAAAUCACUAACUUCAGCUGCAGCAUAUAAAUUUUUAUAGUUAGCAGCCUAAUAAACAAAAGUGGCCACAAAAUAUCGAAAGGGAAUUGGAGCAAACCUCAAUAUUUCCGAGUUCAAUAGCAAAGUAAUUAUAGAGAUCUUGAACUAGAAAAUCUCUCAAAAAGUUAAUGGUGAAUGCUGAGCUUGAAGAAUGAUUCAGCAUAUAAGAUUGUUCCUGAUUAGUUGGAGUAAUAGACUCCAAAUCAUAUUUGGAUUUACAAUGAAGGGAUCCCAUCUCCAUAACCUGCCCAAUGCAGCAGAUCAAACUAUGAUAGACAUAAAUAGACAAAAACAAAGCAACUUAAUGAUUCUCAUGACAAUAAAUUACAGAAAAAUGCUAGAAUACUGAGCAGAAAAUCUCAAAUGAAGAAGAAAAUAACAAAUGUUAAAUGAAUAAGUGUUGAGUUUAGAGGUUAAGCCUAGGAAGUAGCAAUAAAGAGGAUUUACUUUACUAGAGAAACAACUACCUGGAUCAGGAAGCAGAAAAAUAAAAAGAAAAAGAAGACGAAGAAAAGCACAACUAUGCCUUAAUCUCAAAUUAGUUGGAGUCGGGUAUAUGGAUCUUUUGUUGCUAUUAGCUCUAUUAGACACCGAGUCCACACUCCACAUCAAUAUUCAAGAAUUGUAAAUCCUUUGACUUUAAUUUAAUUCAACAUGAUGUACCACCAAACAUUCAAGAAAUUAAUUACCAAGUUACACUGUUCUGAAAUGGCAUUUCUCCCAGGAAUGAUAAUAAUGAGAUUCAAGAUGCUAAUAUCCCAACUGAGUUUUUUAUGACUUGAUAGUGCAUACCUGCAAAAAGUAAAUAAAAACAUAAAUGCAAAAUUAAAUGCAUGGGUGACAUCCAGCAAUUAGAAGGGGAUAUGACAUCAUUACGUGUACAAAAGUUCUAAUUUAUCAAAAGCAACUGACAGUUAAAUGAAGAACUCACUCAGCUUUUGAUAAUAAACGUGUCUUGACAUCUUUAAACCCAUUUAAAGACAAAAGGACCUGUAGCAGGAUCAAUAUUAAAGUAUCAACCAGAAUAUUACAUGCCACAUCAUCUUAAAAAUUUGAAAGCACUAUCAUUUAAAUGUUAGACAAGGUUGUCCACGAAAUAAAACAUGAUAUGAUGAAUAAAGAAGAGAGCAUAGCAGUGAUUUCAGACAUCGUUCUUGCUCCUCAGGUGAAAUGCUUAAAUAUGUUUUAACUAUGUAGACAUACAAUUGAAAUGGCAUUUCAAAUAUCACAAAAUGUACUUACCUUUUCAAUUGAAGCUACUUUUGAGUUGUCUAAUAGGAUCCUGUAAUUUCAUAAUUUGUGGCAAUGGUGGCCCAUACCCAAUUUCACAUGGCUACAAUUGCUACUUGUUAUAAAGUUGACAGACACCUAUUUAUAAGUUUAUGAGAAAUGGCCACAAUGGCACAAUCAAACAGAACAAGUAAAGUUUUAGAUUUCUGUCUUCCUUAAGGUCAAUUAUUUUGAUCUCCAUAUGCAUAUUCCUACAAAGUUUUAGAUAUUUAUGCAACUUGACUAUGAAGAUUCUUAAAUUUGAGUCAGGCCUAACUCACCCCAAAAGCUAGCUCAAGGAGGAGGAUUGCCUAUGGCCCAUAUAAGGGGCACAUUACCCCUUUCCACAACCGAUGUGGGAUUCAACAAAGAUGAUGGAUUUAUCACACAUCCUAAUCUUAUCAACUAAAUUUCAUCCGAUAAUUACUAUCUAAAUAUUCCUUUCAUGGAAAGUAACUCCUAAUCCUUUGACAAGUGAUUUCUAGAAUUAGUAAACCCUCAAAUGAUACAGGUGUAUGCUGCAUGGUGAUACCACACUGAUACUAAUUGAUUCUAGAAGCACUCAGAACUUUGUAUUUGUGACGGCAAUGUGUUUCUAGUUUUCUACGUUUAAAAUUUGUAUAAAAUAGAUCAUUAUAAACUUAAAUCUAUCGGAACACUUUAUGCAAAAUCACCUCAACGGCAUUGGCUAAGUGAACUAAUGAGCUUUGAGUCCUUUGCUGAAUUAAGAGCAAGCUGACAAAAAUAUAAUGCUCUGUCUCAUGAUGGGAAGACAAAAGCGUUUUCUAGGCAGUUUCAUUGGAGCAAUUUGUCAAGUGACUCAUCCUAAAUAGUUGGACCUGUAUUCCUCAAGCGUUUAGGAUUUUCCCAUUACCUGUCCUUGGAAACGAUUCCAUACUCAAGCACAUAAAACUAUAUUUUUUCAUUCUUACAUUCAGAUUAAUGGAUUAUCACAUGUAAAAAUCAGGUUCAAAUUUCUGAUAAUGCCUCAGAUUAAGAAAAAUAGCAAAAUUGACUAUACUUGUCAGUAAUUCUCAAGUGAAGGUAAUCUAUUUUGGAACCCCAAUGCACAAACAAUUGAAACCCUGUAAUUUGGUUUUGCUGUUAUUUUGUUUCUAUUAAUUCCUUGUAUCAUUUUGGUUAAAAUCCAAAAAAUUUUGGAAAAAUUUCAUCAUAUCAUGUGAAAUUCUCAACUGAAUGCCUGAAAUGACUGUCUGCUCUCCCCCAGGUACAUCAUGUAUAGAAACAAUUAAUGCUGAAGUAGCAGACAACAGCAAACACAACAGUGCAAACUGUGAUCGAACAGACAUUAGAACUCACCCUUUUGUUCUGAAAUUCAAAACAUUGUAGUACAGUGAAGAACUCCAGGAGUUUUAAAAGAAAUUCCACAUCACAAUUAACUUCAAGUGGUUGGAGCAUGACCUGCAUGCAGAAGAUAUGGACUGGAAAUUGCAAAGUGGAACUACUAAAAACUAGGACCAGGAAUAUGAAAAUACCUUUAUUGACAAUUCAACCUCUUGUUUUCGUGACUCAUCUACUUGGAUUCUACAAGAAGUUGGCUUAUCCUCUGGUUCUGUUAGAGACUGCAGGCAAGAAAAAAAGUCACAAUGACAUUUUUUACAUUGAUUGGAACAGAAGUAAUUAUUGAGGAAAAUGACAGGAUAUGCUGUUCAUCAGCCAACUCAAGAACUAGUAGUAGUCAAAGAACAUCUUCGGUGCAUCUUAACUUAGUCACAAACAUUAAACAGAGGAAUGAAGAGUUGCCCAAUUAGUGGAAGUUUUCAUGAUUUUGGAAGUCACAUACUUGUUUUCAGUUGUUGUUGUGGUUUGAGAGUCAAAACAACUUUAUGAGAAAAAAAAUCACCAAGUUAGAUGUUGUAAAAAGCUUGUUUGUUAUUUUAGUGCUUGUGACUAAAACUUCUUGAUGAAUUGAAAUAGCAGAUUUUUAGAGAGGGGAUAAGCUAGUUUGUUAAAUUUAAUUCUAGAAUUCCAGCAUUUGUCAAAUUUAAUUUUUAAUCAUGUUUAGUACUCUCCUACCAAGUACCAACAUAUUUAAAAAGUGCUUUUCUCAACAACAGCUCUUACAACAAGGCUAAACAGCGUGCAAGAUGGUUGGUCACUUUCUUUCCUAAAAAACUGAGUCAUGUAAAAUAUUGCAUCCUAAAACCAUUACUUUCCAGAAAACUUCAGAAGGAAAAAUGACUACUCAUACACUUGUAACAUAUAUAGCUCAUGUAUAAGAAUACAAACCCUUCCUAUUUGUAGGAUAACCAUCUCAUCACGUGGAUAAACCAUUUUUCCCGACUUAAUGGAGCAAAAUACUGAAGCUAACUCUUCCUGAAGUUUGCACUCCACGACUGCAUCUUUAAUAAUCAAGUCAGCAAUUCUUUCACUGGAAUACCUGUAAAAGCGGUUGUUAAUAGUUACCAAGAAAUAAGCAAGAAAAUCACAAAGUUGUUCAGUAGAUAACUGAAUAAUAUAAUAGCAAACUACCAGCAUAAAUUGCAUUGACAAUAAAAAUUAGCAAUAGUAUCUAUCAGCAACCAUAAAUAUUGACAUAAGAACAGAGUUUUGGUUGGUCAAAUCCACAAUUCUUUAUCCAAAAGAAUAUGUUAUUAUCAAAUGUUCUUCAAAAUGAAGAAUUCUGUAGGCACUUGAAAUGGAGUAUUCAUAACAAAGUCCCAUUGUGACUAUAUAGUCUAUCUUUCAUUCUUUCUAGUGAUGAAAAGCUCUAGUAAAUGGGACAGGGCAUCCCACACACUUUGGGGGAUAGACUAAUUAUUUGACCCUUAAUUAUACCUGCAAGCAAGCCAAGUUGAGAUCAGUGUUGUUAAAGGCGACCUGUGGUCGAGGCAUCGCCUGGCGCCACAUCCUUUUUUUUUUUUUUUUUUUUUAAUUUUAAAGGAUGUUAAAAUUAAAACCCAAAACCCUUCUUCUGUCCCUAUACCUUCUUCUGCCUUCUCCAAACAGCAGCCAGUCAACACACAGCCUUCUCCAAACAGCAGCCAUCAUCCCACACCAGUCCACAGUUAUGUGUCUCGUCUCAUCUCCUCUUUCUUCUUCUUGCUUCUCCACCCUUCUUCUCCCGAUCUCCUUCUUCUUCUCCGCCCUUCUUCUCCCAAUCUCCUCCCUUCCUUCCCACUCAUUAUUCUCUUCUCCACAUCAUUGUCUCCACUCUCCAGCCAAUCUCUAAUAAGAAUGGGAGUUGUUGUGAAUCUUGUUGUUUAUUUAAAAGUGAAUUACAAUGGGUGUUGUUGAUCUAUGAUUUGUUGUUCAUUUAUUUGUGAGAAUUUUUGUUUAUUUAUUAAGGGCAACACUAAAUGGGUCAUGGGUGUUAUUGAUUUUAAAUUGUUGCUUAUUCAUAAUUUAUUUUGGUGGUGUGACAGUGAUACUAGUCUAGUAGUAUACCUAAUGCCUUGUUAGUUAUUUAAUUUGAUUAGAUGAUAUAAUAUUAUAAUUGAUUUUAUAUUUUUGGUACUUGCUAUUACAUUGGAUUGUUCAGUUUAACUUGUUUUUUGACAUAUUUAUUAAUGCUUUAUUUUAUAUUUGAAAUCUUGACGAAUAUUAAGUAAUAGACUAGGCUAGUAGUUCUAUUCAAUAGUCUUAUUUUAUAUUUUAUUAACAAUACUUUAUUAUAUAUUUUAUAUUAUUCUAAAUAUGAAUGUUAAUUUGUGUACAUUAUAUUUAUAUAUCUAAAAUAUAUAAAAUUUUUAGCUUCUGUUGCCUUUUUCAAAGGCAUCACCUCACCUCUCACCUAAGGCUAUAGAGACCUCGUCGCCUUAGUGUUGAGGUGAUAAUGCUGGUUGAGAUUUGUGAAGCAUAGGCUUAGUUUAUUUAUACACAAGCUUCAAAUUUAGGCUUCCGCUGGCUUGUUUGUUAAAUGAGAUGAGCCACGUAUACAUCUUGUCCAUAUAAAUCUGAUAACCUAAAUGACUAAAAGUCUUUCAUUUAUUAACAUUCCAUGUCACCAACAAAGAUGAGCCAAACUUUACUUUAACUCAGACUUGGUUCAUUUAUUGAAUGGACCUUAAAAUGAAUCCAUGAGCUUGGCUCAUUAACUGUAACAAAAUGGCUCAAGUGAGUUUUAAUUGACCCAUGCUUCAAGCAACUCAUUAGUGGCUUCGCUAACAUCAACUAAUUAUAUGGAAAAAAAAAAUUCUGUUACAGUCAUCAUUAAAAGCCUACAUAAGAAAGAAGAGUACUGUAUAAUAAUAAUAUAAUUAGAUUCCAAGAAUUCCAAGGAAUUUGGAUCAUUUGAGAACAAGCAAGUUACGAGAAGCAAUUAAUUUUGAUCCGCAGCAUAUAGAGGAUAAGCAAUCAUACUUGCUUUGCAGAGUUGCAGCAAUUUGACCCAUGCUUAACUUGACUGCACAUGUAAACAUCUUAACACUUGCAUUGGCAUCCCCACCACAUGAUACUGACGGAUGGAACUCUGUAGCUUCAUAAAUAUCCUGCAGAAAAUAUGACAAGUUAGAUUAUCUAAGGCUAAAAUGAAAAUGUUGUUUUUUCACUCAUGCAAUGAGACUUAACAAUCAACAAUCGUGCACAUCUACCUUUACAACGUCAUCAGAGACAACACCAGAAAAUUGACUAGAAUCAUCCGUUCCACCAGCACCAAGCAUGCCUCGGGACAGCCAAUUCAACCAUCCUCUGGACCUGCCUGAGGUAUGUUCAUCAUUUUGUGACUUCUCAACAGAAAUAUUGGCACCAUCCACUCCCAUAUUUGAAGAUGACGAGCUUGACAAAACAUCCUGACGGCAAAGCAAAUGCCCAAACCAUGUCACCAGAAUGUCACUAGUGAAACAUGUAUGAAGUCACAACUUGUAAGAAGACAUAGACUCUCAUAAAAAAUUGGGAACCAAAUCUGAAAAUAUCCAAAAUUCUUGAACAUUAAAAACUCAACCAAACAAGUUUAGUCAUAACAACAUAGUAAAGUGAAUUUUGCAGUAUAUUUAAACUAAAAUAUACCUGCAGCUCAUGUUCAGCAGCAGACCUAUAGCUCAAGAUAUCAUCUAAAUCCGAUUCUUUCUCCAUUAGCUCCAAUUCCCGAAGAAUAUAUUCAUCAAUUGACUGAUAAUGCCAAAUUAAAAAAAAAAAAACCAAAACAGGUCAGCAAAUAGCAAUUUUCUUUUCCAUGAACUUUAACUAAGCUUCAAAUACUCCUCGUCUUUAACGAGAUUUUACACAGAAGGACAAAAACACAAAUAAGACUAAAAUUUGCUGUUAUGAAAAGGAAAGAACGAAGUUACCUGUUCUUGUUGAAGAAAAUCUAGUUUAAUCUUGUACAAAUUGAUAUACUUCCGACGAGAAUCCCUGUGAUUAGGGUUUAGGUUUAAGCAAUAUAAGAAUUUGACAAGUUAAAACAUUUGCUUCACUGGGCCAAAAUGCGAACAACCAAAACUAACUAGAUUAGUGAAAAAGAAAUAGAACUACAUGAGCAUACAUGUGCACAGAAAUUUGUAACCAUUUCAAUAUUUAAGAUUCAAAAACUAAUAAAUGGGAGAACAGGAUUGGGACGAACAAGAAGCUCCAGAAAAGCAAGUCCAAAGACUUGAGAUAUUUAAAGCAUUCUAUGUCUGUUUUGCUUAUCAAAUUGCUUUACAGGCAGAAUGAACAGGAGCUCCUGCUCAAAGCCAUCCACUGCUCCCAAAGUAGAACCAUCUUCUUCGCCAGACAUGCUUUUCCAACAGUGAGCAUAAUUUUUAAGAAAUUUUGGAUAUCCAACUUCUUCCAUCAAGCCCUAGUAAAACAACAUGAAUUCCUUGAGAAUAUCCCAAAAACAUUGUUCAAGGGUACAGGUGACAGUGCCAAACCUGUAACGGUAACAGCCCCCAAUACCUGUACUUUCUUGAGUUAUUUUGCUUUCUAAUAACAUUCAACUUGCAAAAUCUAGUUGUUCGUGUCAACUCCCGCUAGUUCUACACACCAAUGAUAAAACAGUGUAAUCCAAAAGAUGUCCUACAUUACGACAAUUGGAUAAAACUGCUUAGAUCCUUUGUCAUCUGACCAAGACAUAUUGUUUCCCACUUUCCUAAAUAUUGAUACAACACAAGAUGCAGUGCUUGGCAGGGUUAUCAUUCAGAAAUCUUUCACUACAGAAUCCAACUAAAAUGGUUUGCUCAUGGAUUGACAUGAAUUCAGAAGUAAAAUAUCCCUCAUAGAAGUUGAAAAUGUGGCAAAUCAAAUUAAAAUGUCCCACUGUUAGGAGUCAUCAAGGAGGAUUGUUUUAUCCAUUGUCGAAUCCACAUCGGGAAUAGGGGUUAUGUACCGUUAUAAGGGUUUUGGACACUCUUCUCCCUUGAGCUAGCUUUUGCAAGGAGUUAGGCCUGACUCACAUCUAACAUAAUGCUCUCCAUCCGAUGUUAAGUCUCCUUAAGUAUUUCACACUCUAGUUUAUUCUUGGACGUGAGGACGUUUAUUCUUGGACGUGAGGGGUGUAUUAAAUCCCACAUCAGUUGCAAUAAAAGUUAUGUGCCCUUGUAAAGAUCUUGGGCACUCCUCCCCUUGGGCUAGCUUUUGCGAUCUAAAUAAAAUCCUCCUCAUCCGAUGUUGAGCCUCAUUAAGUACUUCACGUUCCGGUUUAUUUCUGGGCGUGAGGGAGGCGUGUUAACAACCAUCUGAUUCCUCACAAGAGGAACCACCUUAUUUCUCCAGUCAUUACUGCCUUUAUAUAAAGGUAAUCAUUACUGACUGUUAUGUAAGGUUCAUAACAGUCGUUGCUUUUUCUUUUACUUUGUUUUUAGCCGACAAUCUUUUUUUUUUUUUUUUUUUGCUGCAUUCAUGUGAAGAGCAGCAGAAGAAAGCUUUUUUGGGCUAGAAGGCUAACUUGCCUUAUUAAUUCAGGAUGUCUUCAUUUUCUUUCUAGGCAUUUUGCCAUUUGCUCUCAAUAUUCACCUCUGAAAAUUUAGAAUUAUAAAAAGAAAGAGAGAAGAACAAGAUUAAGUUUUACAUGGUUUAGCUAUGCAGAGCCUACAUCCACAAACUCAAACCCCCAAAAGGACUGCAUUUUAUUCACUUGUGCUUUUUUCAUUGCACAUAGAACUCCAUGUUUAUAGUGGGGAUACAUAACAUAGAUUGAAUGCUAUCAAUAAUAAAUCCCUCCUAAGAUUACAUAAUUUUCUCAUAGUCAUGAGAUUUCCAUAAAUCACUCUUAAUAUUCUUCAUUAAGAAUAAAUCUCAUUAAUUUUCACAUACCCCCUUAAUGAGAUUUUGCAAAAGUUGUAAAUUUAAUAUCAAGCACUCUCGCUUCUUCUUCUUCCACCUUUUUUCUUCCAGUACGACUCUUUUUUCUUCUUUUAUUACCUUUUUAUUUUCUUUUGGAGUUCCUUUGUCCUUGGAUUCUUCCUAAAGAGGAUUGGAGGGUCUUGGACCCUAAAUUUGCAAACCCAGGUUGUGUUCUUGAAAGCUUUUGGGAUUUCAAACCCAAAAGGAGAAGAGAAGGAAAGAAAGAUGGACACAUAGGGUAGGGACUUCAGACCCUGGCUCUACUAAAUUGUAGAAUAGAGUCAGGAUUUCAACCCUUGGCUCUAAUGAAGAAGUAGAAUAUCAUAGACUUCAAACCAGAUUCUGAUAUCAAAUGCUAUCAAUAAUAAAUCACUCCUAAGAUUAUGGUAAUCAAUCUCAUGAUCUUCUCACAGUCAUGAGAUUCUCAUAAAUCACUCCUAAUAUUGUUCACUAAGGAAAAAAUUAAUCUUAACGUCCACAGUGAAAUGUAAUCCUUCAUUUUCCUACAAAUUUUUGAGCUCAAGACCGUAUAUUAUCAAAUAGACAAGGUAGUUUUGAAGUGAAGUAGAGCAAAGGGUGAGCUAUUGUUAUUUUUUCUAAGUUCUACAUAUUUUUCAAAUCACUUUUAGGUAAAGGCAUAAAUAAUUAGCAAAUAAUAUAGAGAAAGUUUUAGGGUUUAAAAAUGUUUGCUAAAUAUAAAUUUAGGCGUUCACAAGAUAAGAUUUGAGGAAAAAAAUCACCAAAUUAACUUUUGAAAUUAAUUUUCAUAAAUUAAAUAGUAUAUUUAAAACCUAAUUUUAAAUGACAAUCAAGAUGCCAUAUAAAUCUUCUAUCAUCCAUUAUAAUAUAAAACUUAUUUAUUAUAUAAAUAGAGAAUAAAUAUAACUCUUUGAGGUUUUGUGUCCACAUAUGUAGGCUCUCUAUAGCCAACCAUGUAGAUCCUUCCCUUGUUAUUUUCUCCCAUCUUUUAUGUCAUUCUAAAUAUCUACAUCAUAUCAAUGCAUCACCAACCACAUGGGCCGCCAAUAAGCAUUUCAUACCCUAGGUGUUCAAUCCUAGCAUCAUGGGUGCGGGUAAUACUUAAUACCCAUAUUAGUUUGUGAUAAGAGUAAUGUACCUCUUAUUAAAAUGGUGAUAAAGCCUAUGGUUUGAGUCCCAGAGCCACUCUUCUCCCAUUUCCACCUCCUUUCAUUUUAGCCGAGGAUUGAAGUCCCCAAACUAAUUUUCUCCUCUACUCUCCUCCUCCAUUUUAGCAUUGGGUUUGAGUUCCAAAGCUAUGCUUCUCCCAUAUUGUCCUUCAUUUAAGCCUGGCGUUUGCAUCCCAUAUCUUUUACUUUUCCUCUUAUAUUUUCCUUCUGGAUUUUAGCAUGGGGUCUGAGUCUUGAAACUACUUUCUCCAAAAUUCCUCCUCUUCUACGUGGAAUUUAAGUUUGAAAAAGAAGUUCAAAGAAAAGAAAAGAAAAGAAAAAGGAAAAAGCUAGAUGAUGGAUAAUAACUAAAGCAAAAAUCUCAUCAAGGGAUAGUUCCAAAGUUGAUGAGAUUUCCCUUAGUUUAUGAGAUAUGAAUCAUAUGAGUACGUGAAAAUCUCACAAUUGAUUAGCAAAAUCAUUGGCUUAAUCAAUUGACUUGAUUACUACUUGUAUCUUCAAUUAUAACUAUGAAAUCUUAUGUGUUAUUUAAAUGACGCAAGUGAAUAAAAUCUAACGUUUUGAGGCUUUAUGCCCAUAGAUGUAAGCUCUCCAUAGGUGAACUACGUAAAUUCUUCUCAUGUUAUUUUCUCCAUAUUUUCUAUCAUUCUGAAUUUCUUCAUCAUAAAACAUUUAACAUGGUAUAAUAUGGAUGAAAGAUUGAGCACACCUAGGGAACAGAUAAACACAACUACAGAGUUGUGACAAGAAGCCAUCGAACAUUAAAACCACAUUAAAAUUAGAGUUUCCACUAUCAUAAAAUUUCCCAAGGUAAUAAUUAGUCAUGCUCUAACAUUAAACCCUUUCAAAAACUUGUGACCAAGAUGUGAUCAAUGUGAAGUCUAUAGUGCACAAGAGCUGACACACCAAAAUGGGUUAAUUAACAAAGGAAGACUACAAGCUUAUGCAAAUGGCGAAAACUUACACUCGCUGCCCAAAGUAUCUCCAUGAUGUUUUCUUCAACUUCCCGCGAACAUCUGACAAGACAGAUUCUUGUGCAUAGUGCCACCAUCGUAACUGCCAACCAUUAUGCUUUCUAGCUAAGGAAUGGCCCCAUGGACGGUAACGUCCAUACCUGCAUCAUGAAGUGACAAAUCGAAUUAAGCAUUCCUUUGAGCUUUAGAUACCACCAACAUAGACAGUGCAAUUUCAAUUAAAAUAAAAUCUUUGACCUAGAAACAAAGAAAUUAAAUAUAGGCAAUCAAUCAGUCUAUUUGACUAAACAAUUUAAUAAGACAUUAAUCACAAAGAAAAUGUUCAAGAAUUGAAUGAGCACUUUUGUUUAUGUCUUUAGGACAAGGGAGAUUUCUGAAGUUAUGAGUAUUAUAGAGGUAUUGAACUCAUGGAGCGAAGUUUGUGCAAAAUCACAGUUCUGUUGGAUGACCUUUACACAAAAAAUCUGACAUUUUUGUUAACUUUUGAUACUUGACCUUUAUAAAAGUGCAACUGUUUAACCCCUAUGCUCGGAUGUGACUUGCACGCGUUCUAAAUUUUCAAGGGUUGUAAUAGUUAUAUUUUAUAAAAUUCGAGGUUAAAUAGAUACAAUUUGUCAGAUGUUAACAACGAAAGUCCAUCUUUCACAAAAGUGGAUUACUAAACAAAUUAUUUGAGGUAAAAGAGAAGUUCUAAUGAUUUUUUACUGAUCUAAAAAUUGAUUAUGGAUAAGUUAUAAAAGAUGUUUAUGGUGGAUUACAAAGGUAAAUUCCAUUAUAGUUACCCACAACAAAGAUCAACUGUAACAUCUAAAAAUUCAUUAUGGAUAAGUUCUAAAAGAUGUUUUAUAGUGGAUUACAAAGGUAAUUCCAUUAUAGUUGCCCACAACAAAGAUCAACUUUAACAUCUCAUAGAUGAAUUCAAGGAAAAUGAAUUUUAGGAAUUAUUUUGACCUGAUUUUUCUUCUUAAUAUUAAGAAAUUUAUGUUUCAAUUACCUUGGAAAUUUAAUUAGAUGGCAGUAUUUUGAUUAUUUAUGAAACCUAUUGUCUAGAAUUUCUUCGAGUUGGUUUAACGUUUCCUUAUUUUGGGAUUCCUAAUCCUAGUAAUUGUAGAACCCAUGUCUGUCUAGAUAUUUUGGUAGAGAUUAUUUUUGUGAUAUUGACAAUUGAUUUUGAGAAUUACUUUUCAUAAUGUUCUUCUUGGUUCUACUUCUACUUUACUUAUCUUUUGCUUUAUAAUGGAUGUUAAAUAUAUGAGAAAAGAUAUUUCCUUCCACGUGCUUUUUGUGGCUAAUCAAUGUUGACUAUGACGAAAGAUGCCACAAAAAAAGCAAGGAGCAAUGAGAAUGCUUUGCAAUAAUACAAAAAAAGGCACAUAUAACCUGUGUUACUCAGACUAGGGUAGGAGUGUCAGAAAAGGGUACAUAUCCUUGUGUCUGACUUGUCAACUUUAUAAAUUAAAAAUAGAAAAAAUUACUAUCAAGUCCCUGAAUUUUUAUGAAAUUAACUAGUUUGUCCUAUUUCAAAAUCACACAAUAAAAUCCAACUCUUUAGUCCUUCUAUUAAAAAACUAUCUGUUAUCUUCAAUUAUUUGUACUGUUUAGUUUCUAUAGUUUUAAUUAUACAUAUUUCUUGGUGCUUAUAAUUUUAAAUAUUCAUACUAUUUAGUCUCUGACCAAAGCUAAAAUAAUGAUUUUUUUGACAGAAGAACUAAAGAGUUUGAUUUUUACAAAAUAUCGAGAUAUUUAAUAAAAUUUAUAGUAAUUCUCCCUAAAAAAUAUGGAGAAAUGCAUCUAAAUUCUGACAUAGGUGUUUGGAUAUGUUAUGAUAUGUAAAAUAAAAUAGAAUAAAAUAUAUAAAAGUAUAUAUAUAGAUCAUCAAAUACAAUCAAAUACAAAAUACAACCAAAUAACUAUUUUCUAUCUAAGAAAAAAACCAUGUUUUGUCAUCCAUGCACUCCAUCUCGAGAGUAAAGAGUUUCUAUUAACUAUAACAUUCAUAUGUAGAGAUCUCUAUAACUCAAGUGUCCAAUUGCAUGAAUAAGGGUCAGACAUAUAUUCCACGUCGCAUCCCAUGCAGUGCCGACAUAGGUACAACAUGGCAAAAUGAAGGUUUGGCAUAUCAAAGCAUAUAACCAAUGAAUGUUGUUAAAUUAGGAGAAAAGGUCUAAGCACAAUAGACUAAUCCCAUUUUCGAUAUGGGUUAUACAACUAAGUUACUUUAUACAUCAAAAGACUAGUCAAUUCAACGUUGCAACCCAAUCACCCAAUUUGGGCUCAAUAGAUAACCUUAUGGGUGGCUAAAACCCAUAAAUCAAUAGUGGUUUUGAUAUCAUAUUAAACUUGGAAAAAGUGUUGAGAUGUAAGUGAUUAAGUUGUUUUACACUUUGAAAUGAUGAGUCAAUUAAAUGUUGCAACCUAAUCACUUACAUUUUACUCUUCCAUUUCAUAAACUUCCAAUGUGGGAUUCCUGGAACUCCCUCCAAGUGUAACCAUCACAUGGUCAUCACUUCACAAUUAGUAUUAACUCAAUAUAGGCUCAACUGUACAACCUUAAGGUAGUUGAAACUCACAACUCGAUCAAGGCUUUGCCACCAAGUUAAAUUUAAAGAGAGUAUUGAGCAUUACAAAUUAAUUAAUUUUUAACAUAGGCUCAUAUAUAUAUAUUAUUAGGUUGCUUUAAACAUCAAAAUGACUGGCCAAUUUAAUGUUACAACCUAAUCAUUUAUGUUUUCUCCUUUCAUUUCAUAGAUUUCUAAGGUGGGAAUCCAACAAAUGCAUUUGUAAAUAUGGACAAAGCAAAAAAUGGGGAAUUGAGGUGGCCAUAUCCCUCGCAGCCUGAUUUAACCAUUGACAUGGAAGAUUGGGCACUUGCGAGAGGCAAGGGCAAAAAAGAUGAGGUAAAUUAAUGACAUGGUUGAAUUGGUCAAGAAGUAUUUAUCAUAUUAUAUAUGUAUCCAAGGAUAUGUCUUCCUUAAUUUAAGGAUUUAAAUCUUGGUAGUUUUUCAUUAUAAAUAAGUAGCAUGUAUUAUGUUAAAAGACAGAAAUUGAGUGAAGAUGUAGCCAUUUAUGGUUUUGCAUUCCUCUAUCUUUUCUCCUUUAUUUUUUCUUCCAAAACUGAACAUGGCAUCAGAGCCAUCUAAAUUUCUGCGUCUCAUUCUUAUGCUUCACUUCAUAGUUUCAAAGUUAAUUUCGAACUUUGAAGUCCCAGCUUACUGUCCCUUUCUUCUGGCAACAUAUUCUUAGGAAUUCUUUAGGUAUUAUGUGUUUCAGCUAUCAUGUUUUUGGUGUUUCAUACGAAAGAAUUUCUUAACGUCCUAUAAAUAUUUUUAGAAUGGCUAAGUUUAUUUCUUCUCGAUCACAGUAGGCUUGGGCUUGUGUUUCAAGACAGUGAUCUCCUUUCCCCUCAAAGAUCUAGGUACUCCUCUCCUUCUUCAUACCUUCCAGAGCAUGGGUUGAAGUCCCUGCUCUUCUUCUCCAUUAGAAGUUGAGGGUUGAAGUCCCUACUCUGUUUCUUUUUCUUCCAAAAGCUAUAGCUUUGAGUCUCAAAAGCUAUCCUCCUUAGGGAUUUGAGUCCCUAAACUCUGCAUUUUCCCCCUAAAUUUCAAUUCUAAUGUUCUUUUGCCCCAGCUUUUAGCGAGGAGAAGGGAGCCUAGCCAAGUUUCCUGCUGCCUCUUGAAGGUGUUGGUAAACCUGCUUCGCUGCUGGACCACUUACAGUGCUCCAAGGAUAAUUUUUGGUCACUUUUGUACUGUGCUUUACUGUUUGUGUUACUUCUGGGUUGAUGUUUGGAUUGAACAAGAAUCUCAUCAAGGGGGAUUGUUAGAAUUGAUGAGACUCUCUGUAAAUUAAGGAAAAUAUUACUUCUUAAUAGGAAUUAUUGUUUCUUAAUUCAAGGAUGUCUUCCUUAAUUUAAGGAUUUAAAAUCUUGGUAGUUUUUCAUUAUAAAUAAGCAAUAUGUAUUAUGUAAAAAGAUAGAAAUUAAGUAAAGAUGCAGCCAUUUAUGGUUUUUCCUUCUGCUCUCUUUUCUCCUAUAUUUAUUUCUUCUGAAAAAAUGACUUAACAAUAUCUUAUGAAAAUGUUGUUGCCGCUGAAAAGAUUGGAAAUGAACCAAGUAGAGUUGAGCAGACUUGUUUGAGAUUGAAAUAGCUUAAAUCUAUUAAAAGUUAGUUUAAGAAAAUGCAACAUAGAUCUGUCAAAUGAGAAAGAGACUCGUGUCAGACCAAAAAAAAAAAUUCAAAGUUCCAAAGCAAGUGAACUCACCAGAGUAUUAGAUCUAGAUGAUACGAAUUACAAAGGUAAACAAGAUAAAAAGAUUUUUUUUUGAAGAAAAAAGUGAAAAGACAAAUAGUAA